rnacentral:rRNA from 1 species
UACGUAGGGGGCAAGCGUUGUCCGGAUUUACUGGGCGUAAAGCGCGCGUAGGCGGGAGGUGAAGUCCGGUGGGAAAGCCCACGGCUCAACCGUGGAAGAACGCUGGAAACUCACCUUCUUGAGGGCGGCAGAGGGAAGUGGAAUUGCUGGUGUAACGGUGAAAUGCGUAGAUAUCAGCAGGCACCCCCGUGGCGGAGGCGGCUUCCUGGGCCGCCCCUGACGCUGAGGAGCGAAAGCGUGGGGAGCGAACAGG